rnacentral:piRNA from 1 species
UAGCGUGAAAAAAUGCUUGCAACUGUUC